rnacentral:tRNA from 2 species
GCAGUGGUGGUUCAGUGGUAGAAGUCUUGCCUUCUAUGCAGGGACCCAGGUUCGAUUCCUGGCCAUUGCA